UUCAAAUCCCCGAGCUGACAAGGUACAACUCUGUCAUUCUGCCCCUCAAAACAGGGGGCAGAAAAAUAAGAAUUUGUUCUUAACUGACUUGCCAAGUUAAAUAAAAGUAUAUAUUUUUUAAAGUACAGUCUCAGGUUGUAGACGUAUCCCAUCAUCCUCUCUCUCAGUACAGUCUCAGGUUGUAGUCGUAUCCCAUCAUCCUCUCAGUACAGUCUCAGGUUGUAGACGUAUCCCAUCAUCCUCUCAGUACAGUCUCAGGUUGUAGACGUAUCCCAUCAUCCUCUCUCUCAGUACAGUCUCAGGUUGUAGACGUAUCCCAUCAUCCUCUCUCUCAGUACAGUCUCAGGUUGUAGACGUAUCCCAUCAUCCUCUCAGUACAGUCUCAGGUUGUAGACGUAUCCCAUCAUCCUCUCUCUCAGUACAGUCUCAGGUUGUAGAUGUAUCCCAUCAUCCUCUCUCUCAGUACAGUCUCAGGUUGUAGACGUAUCCCAUCAUCCUCUCUCUCAGUACAGUCUCAGGUUGUAGAUGUAUCCCAUCAUCCUCUCUCUCAGUACAGUCUCAGGUUGUAGACGUAUCCCAUCAUCCUCUCUCUCAGUACAGUCUCAGGUUGUAGAUGUAUCCCAUCAUCCUCUCUCUCAGUACAGUCUCAGGUUGUAGACGUAUCCCAUCAUCCUCUCUCUCAGUACAGUCUCAGGUUGUAGACGUAUCCCAUCAUCCUCUC